rnacentral:rRNA from 1 species
CCGGCACGGGUGAGUAACACGUAUGCAAUCCACCUGUAACAGGGGGAUAACACUGAGAGAUUGGUACUAAUACCCCAUAAUAUCAUAGAAGGCAUCUUUUAUGGUUGAAAAUUCCGAUGGUUAGAGAUGGGCAUGCGUUGUAUUAGCUAGUUGGUGGGGUAACGGCUCACCAAGGCGACGAUACAUAGGGGGACUGAGAGGUUAACCCCCCACACUGGUACUGAGACACGGACCAG